rnacentral:RNase_P_RNA from 2 species
UCUUUGCGCCGGAUAGCCACUGAGUUCCGACUUGCUCGGAGCUUAGAGGAAAGUCCGAACACUCUCCCUCCCCAGUUUUAGGCUCUCGAAAUUUCUAUAGUCUAAAACUGGGGAGGGAAACAGGGUAGCGGGUAACGCCCGUCUGGAGCAAUCCAAGAGGUGCGAACAGAGACGCCAAACAUCGAAAGAUGUUUGGGCGCUUCCGAAAGGAGGCGUAGUCCAGCUCCAGUUUUGAGAGAUUGAUUUUUCGAUAAUUCAAAACUGGGGCUGGGGUGCAACGGCAAAAUCCUUACCCGGGUGCAAGGCCGUGUCUCCCGAUGUAAUGUCGGGGGAAGUGCCGCUUGAGUCCAGCGGUAACGCUGGACCUAGAUAAAUGGCUAUACAAUUUCGCACAAUGCGGAGUAGACAGAAUUCGGCUUAUAGGCGCAAAGGCAUU